CAAAGGGAAAUUGUUGAUUUUUAAGGAAUCAAGUCAUUAAAGGUGGUGAGCAUUCUAGCAAUAGUAAAGAGGUAGUAUCAAAGGAUCAAGAAUCAGAGUAUCCUGAAUUCGAUUCCCAUUACAAUUGGUCAUUGCAGUGGCGAGUUCUAUGGACCAGCCUUUUUAAGGGGCACGAAAUCUGGGUAUAUUCUUACCUCGGUUGAGGAGGCAC